GGUAAAAUUGAGAAUAAAAAAAAACGGAUAAAAAAAAAUGAGCGAAAUUAGAGUAGUCUGAAUUGAGUUCGUUAAUACAUGAUCCAACGUCUCGAGAAUUGGACUUAAUUAGAUACAAAAAUGAUCCGAAAAUACAUUUUCGUUCCACGUGCCGGCCAACCAUUUUCAAGUUGAAAUAAAAAAUUUCAACGAAUUUCUGUUAGGUGGCGUUAGUUAUCUCAACUAAUACUUCUAAGAAUACAUUCAAAAGAAUGUAGAGGCAUCUCAGACCUUCCCAUCCAUUUAUGAAAAAUGUAGUUAAGUAAUAUUUCAUAUAAAUAAAAUAUUAGCAAAACCCACUUUAUUGUCUAUGGAGAAUCUCGAGCUUGAUCUCGCCCAUAGCCACUUUUUUUAAA
rnacentral:snRNA from 1 species